CUUCUGAGGCCCGGAGGUGCUACGGAAUCCUGGAAUCGGGAUUGGCCAACUUGUGCCCCAUGCUGGUGGAUCGCUGAGGAGGAGGUUCUCAGGGGGAGUUGCCUUGAGAGGCAUGCUGUCUGCUUGGAAGGAAGCCCUUCGUUUCUUCUGAGGCCCGGAGGUGCUACGGAAUCCUGGAAUCGGGAUUGGCCAACUUGUGCCCCAUGCUGGUGGAUCGCUGAGGAGGAGGUUCUCAGGGGGAGUUGCCUUGAGAGGCAUGCUGGCUGCUUGGAAGGAAGCCCUUCGUUUCUUCUGAGGCCCGGAGGUGCUACGGAAUCCUGGAAUCGGGAUUGGCCAACUUGUGCCCCAUGCUGGUGGAUCGCUGAGGAGGAGGUUCUCAGGGGGAGUUGCCUUGAGAGGCAUGCUGGCUGCUUGGAAGGAAGCCCUUCGUUUCUUCUGAGGCCCGGAGGUGCUACGGAAUCCUGGAAUCGGGAUUGGCCAACUUGUGCCCCAUGCUGGUGGAUCGCUGAGGAGGAGGGGGGAGUUGCCUUGAGAGGCAUGCUGUCUGCUUGGAAGGAAGCCCUUCGUUUCUUCUGAGGCCCGGAGGUGCUACGGAAUCCUGGAAUCGGGAUUGGCCAACUUGUGCCCCAUGCUGGUGGAUCGCUGAGGAGGAGGGGGGAGUUGCCUUGAGAGGCAUGCUGUCUGCUUGGAAGGAAGCCCUUCGUUUCUUCUGAGGCCCGGAGGUGCUACGGAAUCCUGGAAUCGGGA